rnacentral:rRNA from 1 species
CGCGUAGGCGGUUGAUUAAGUCGGAUGUGAAAGCCCUGGGCUCAACCUGGGAACUGCAUUCGAUACUGGUCAACUAGAGUACGAGAGAGGGAGGUAGAAUUCCACGUGUAGCGGUGAAAUGCGUAGAUAUGUGGAGGAAUACCGGUGGCGAAGGCGGCCUCCUGGCUCGAUACUGACGCUGAGGCACGAAAGCGUGGGGAGCGAACAGGAUUAGAUACCCUGGUAGUCC